rnacentral:lncRNA from 1 species
UGAAGAUGUCUUUAAUGGAGGGGAGGGGGUAAAAGGGAAGGAAAGAUGGCAGGAGGAGGGUUCUCAGCACUGGAGGCUCUGAGCAGGGCUACAAGUCGCGAGCUGCCCAUAGCUGACAGAUGCCCUUUGCUCGCACCAUGGCCGCCUCCUUCCAGCUUCCAAAACAGCCUCCUUCCACAGGCCUUGUGAGCUCCUGCAAAGAUGCUUCAUGGGUCUCAGCCUCUCUACACCAGCCCAGUUUCUGCUGUGGUAGAGACAUGGCCCCCUGUGUUUCCAUGGGAAUCCCUUUUUCAGCGAAUUUCAGUCAGUGGAAAGAUUAACAUGAACACCAAGAACUUGGAGUCGUGAAGAGAAACUGAGGAACGGGCCUCUAGAUGGAAAUUUCUAACCACAUAAAAGUGAGAUGGGAAAAUGACCAUGAUUCCCUGUUUUAUGUUCUUCUGGAUGUAACACCAGCGAGGCUUUGGGAGUAACCUAAAAGUCUGCAGUAGGAAUAACCUACACAGAUGCCCGGUGGUCUGUCUCUUGUUAUACAAGGAUGAUGGAGCUCUGCAUCAAGGUGGCUGAAGAGGCUCUGGAUGGCCAGGGAUGGAAGGAGGCCCCAUGGCACUCAGCCACAGUCUCCAAACCCAACGGGCAAUGCAUUUCCCAGCUACAGCUACAGUCAGCAACCCUGAGUCAACAAAGGGACCAGCCUAAUUGUUCUAUGAAAAUUUUGCCUACAAAAAUCUACUUAAGAUAAUGCAUUUGAGGUUUAGACUUGUUAUAGCCUCUAUGAGUACUUUACUACUAUGGCUGACCAGUGUUCCAUUUUAUUUUUAGAUAUACUGCCUUGUGUUUAUUUAUUCAUCCACUGACUUUGACAUCCGGGUGAUGUCCACUUUUUUGAUUACUGUAAAUAGCACUGCUAUAAACACUGGUGUACGAGUUUUUAUUUGGACACCUGUUUUCAAUUCUCUUGGGUAUAUACCUAGAGGUAGAAUUGCUAUGCAAAGUCAAGGCAGUUAGACACAAGAAACUACAUGUCGUAUGAUUUCAUUUAUGUGAAAUCUCCAGAACAGGCAAAUCCACAGAUACAGAAAACAAAUUUGCGGUCUCCAGGGACUAGAGAUGGGGGAAAUGGGAGUGACUGGAUAAUGGAUACAGAGUUUCCAUUUUGGGUAAUAAAAAAUCAUUCUAUAACUGAUGGUGGUGCUGUACAACAUUGAGAAUGUACACAGUUCUCUGACUUGAAAACUUUAAAAUAAUUAAAAAGGUAAAUUUUAUGCUUUAUAUCUACCACAAUAAAAAAUCUACUUAAAAAAUAGAGUUUUUAAAAAAUGUGUAGAAUAAGUUAAGGGAAUUGGAAAAAAAUUCUUCAUAGGUAUUGCUGAGUAUAUAUAAAUAAAUAGAUGAAACAAUUGUGUCUAGAAAAGCAAUUACUUGUACUCAAUAUGGUAUAUGGUUAACCCAUAGAAACCUUAUCCUUGUAAUUCAAUUUAAACCUGCUUUCAUUCUUGACAACUUAUAUAACAGAAGGUAUUUUCAGUUUGGUUGUGGUCCAAUUAUAAUAAGUGCUUAUUGUGGAC